GCCGACGUGGUGGAAUGGUAGACACGACAGACUUAAAAUCUGUUGGGCCUUAUAGCCCGUGCCGGUUCGAGUCCGGCCGUCGGUA
rnacentral:tRNA from 2 species